AUUGAACGCUGGCGGCAGGCCUAACACAUGCAAGUCGAGCGAGCGGCGGACGGGUGAGUAAUGUCUGGGAAACUGCCCGAUGGAGGGGGAUAACUACUGGAAACGGUAGCUAAUACCGCAUACCAUCAGAUGUGCCCAGAUGGGAUUAGCUAGUAGGUGGGGUAACGGCUCACCAAGGCGACGAUCCCUAGCUGGUCUGAGAGGAUGACCAGCCAAACUGGAACUGAGACACGGUCCAGACGCCUACGGGAGGCAGCAGGGGGGAAUAUUGCACAAUGGGGGAAAUCCUGAUGCAGCCAUGCCGCGUGUGUGAAGAAGGCCUUCGGGUUGUAAAGCACUUUCAGCGGGGAGGCGGUACCCGCAGAAGAAGCACCGGCUAACUCCGUGCCAGCAGCCGCGGUAAUUC
rnacentral:rRNA from 1 species